AAAAGUGGAUUAGCGGCGGACGGGUGAGUAACACGUGAGUAACCUGCCUUAGACAUUGGGAUAGCCUCGGGAAACCGGGAUUAAUACCAAAUAAAAUCAUAAUGACACAUGUCAUAACGAUCAAAACUCCGGUGGUCUAAGAUGGACUCGCGUCCCAUUAGCUAGUUGGUAGAGUAAAAGCCUACCAAGGCGACGAUGGGUAGCCGGCCUGAGAGGGUGAACGGCCACAUUGGAACUGGGAAACGGUCCAA
rnacentral:rRNA from 1 species